rnacentral:rRNA from 1 species
ACUCCUACGGGAGGCAGCAGUGGGGAAUAUUGGACAAUGGGGGGAACCCUGAUCCAGCCAUGCCGCGUGUGUGAAGAAGGCCUUAUGGUUGUAAAGCACUUUAAGCGAGGAGGAGGCUACUGAGACUAAUACUCUUGGAUAGUGGACGUUACUCGCAGAAUAAGCACCGGCUAACUCC